CCCUUAGAUGUUCUGGGCCGCACGCGCGCUACACUGAUGCAUUCAACGAGCCUAUCCUUGACCGACAGGUCCGGGUAAUCUUUGAAUCUGCAUCGUGACGGGGAUAGAUUAUUGCAAUUAUUAAUCUUCAACGAGGAAUGCCUAGUAGGCGCAAGUCAUCAGCUUGCGUCGAUUACGUCCCUGUGCUUUGUACACACCGCCCGUCGCUCCUACCGAUUGGGUGUGCUGGUGAAAUGUUCGGAUCGGCCGUUUGUCGCGGUUUCCGCGUCAUGUGGCUGAGAAGUUCAUUAAACCCUCCCACCUAGAGGAAGGAGAAGUCGUAACA
rnacentral:rRNA from 1 species